rnacentral:rRNA from 1 species
UACGGAGGAUGCGAGCGUUAUCCGGAUUUAUUGGGUUUAAAGGGUGCGUAGGCGGACGCUUAAGUCAGCGGUAAAAUUGCGGGGCUCAACCUCGUCGAGCCGUUGAAACUGGGUGCCUUGAGUGGGCGAGAAGUACGCGGAAUGCGUGGUGUAGCGGUGAAAUGCAUAGAUAUCACGCAGAACUCCGAUUGCGAAGGCAGCGUACCGGCGCCCAACUGACGCUGAUGCACGAAAGCGUGGGUAUCAAACAGG